GUACCCAGUGAUUAUAAAAAGACGCGUUAUUCUGAGGGUUUUAGCUAGAUGUCAGCUUUUCUACCUUUUCUUCUCUCUAUUCCUUCUUCUCCUCUUCUCUUCUCUGCAGCUGACAACUGGUCCGUUGACUGCGAUUAUGAGACAUGAGGGUGC